CUCAGAGAGCGCAGACCUCCGCCAUGGCCAAGCCCUAACUCAUAAUGUUAACGAAACAAUGUGUGUGUCGUUCCCAUGAUUCAGAUCCGCUCCAACAUGUAAUGGAUUCUUCCUCGGCCCGUGCUACACCCUUCCACCAUGUUUCCUGAAAAUC